rnacentral:rRNA from 1 species
CAGCACCUCAAGUGGUUAGGAUGAUUAUUGGGCCUAAAGCAUCCGUAGCCGGCGCUGUAAGUUUUCGGUUAAAUCUGUACGCUCAACGUACAGGCUGCCGGGAAUACUGCAGCGCUAGGGAGUGGGAGAGGUAGACGGUACUCGGUAGGAAGGGGUAAAAUCCUUUGAUCUAUUGAUGACCACCUGUGGCGAAGGCGGUCUACCAGAACACGUCCGACGGUGAGGGAUGAAAGCUGGGGGAGCAAACCGGAUUAGAUACCCAAGUAGUCC